rnacentral:rRNA from 1 species
GAAUUCACUAGUGAUUUGGCGCGUGGUUAAGACAUGCAAGUCGAACGAGAGAAUUGCUAGCUUGCUAAUAAUUCUCUAGUGGCGCACGGGUGAGUAACACGUGAGUAACCUGCCCCCGAGAGCGGGAUAGCCCUGGGAAACUGGGAUUAAUACCGCAUAGUAUCGAAAGAUUAAAGCAGCAAUGCGCUUGGGGAUGGGCUCGCGGCCUAUUAGUUAGUUGGUGAGGUAACGGCUCACCAAGGCGAUGACGGGUAGCCGGUCUGAGAGGAUGUCCGGCCACACUGGAACUGAGACACGGUCCAGACACCUACGGGUGGCAGCAGUCGAGAAUCAUUCACAAUGGGGGAAACCCUGAUGGUGCGACGCCGCGUGGGGGAAUGAAGGUCUUCGGAUUGUAAACCCCUGUCAUGUGGGAGCAAAUUAAAAAGAUAGUACCACAAGAGGAAGAGACGGCUAACUCUGUGCCAGCAGCCGCGGUAAUACAGAGGUCUCAAGCGUUGUUCGGAAUCACUGGGCGUAAAGCGUGCGUAGGCUGUUUCGUAGGUCGUGUGUGAAAGGCGCGGGCUCAACCCGCGGACGGCACAUGAUACUGCGAGACUAGAGUAAUGGAGGGGGAACCGGAAUUCACGGUGUAGCAAAUCGA